rnacentral:rRNA from 1 species
GAGAGUUUGAUCCUGGCUCAGAUUGAACGCUGGCGGCAGGCCUAACACAUGCAAGUCGAGCGGUAACAGAAAGUAGCUUGCUACUUUGCUGACGAGCGGCGGACGGGUGAGUAAUGCUUGGGAACAUGCCUUGAGGUGGGGGACAACAGUUGGAAACGACUGCUAAUACCGCAUAAUGUCUACGGACCAAAGGGGGCUUCGGCUCUCGCCUUUAGAUUGGCCCAAGUGGGAUUAGCUAGUUGGUGAGGUAAUGGCUCACCAAGGCAACGAUCCCUAGCUGGUUUGAGAGGAUGAUCAGCCACACUGGAACUGAGACACGGUCCAGACUCCUACGGGAGGCAGCAGUGGGGAAUAUUGCACAAUGGGCGAAAGCCUGAUGCAGCCAUGCCGCGUGUGUGAAGAAGGCCUUCGGGUUGUAAAGCACUUUCAGUCAGGAGGAAAGGGUGUGAGUUAAUACCUCAUAUCUGUGACGUUACUGACAGAAGAAGCACCGGCUAACUCCGUGCCAGCAGCCGCGGUAAUAC